GGGUUGUAAACCUCUUUCCCUUUGGAAGAAGCGAAUGUGACGGUACCUGCAGAAGAAGCGCCGGCUAACUACGUGCCAGCAGCCGCGGUAAUACGUAGGGCGCAAGCGUUAUCCGGAAUUAUUGGGCGUAAAGAGCUCGUAGGCGGUUUGUCGCGUCUGCCGUGAAAGUCCGGGGCUCAACUCCGGAUCUGCGGUGGGUACGGGCAGACUAGAGUGAUGUAGGGGAGACUGGAAUUCCUGGUGUAGCGGUGAAAUGCGCAGAUAUCAGGAGGAACACCGAUGGCGAAGGCAGGUCUCUGGGCAUUAACUGACGCUGAGGAGCGAAAGCAUGGGGAGCGAACAGGAUUAGAUACCCUGGUAGUCCAUGCCGUAAACGUUGGGCACUAGGUGUGGGGGACAUUCCACGUUUUCCGCGCCGUAGCUAACGCAUUAAGUGCCCCGCCUGGGGAGUACGGCCGCAAGGCUAAAACUCAAAGGAAUUGACGG
rnacentral:rRNA from 1 species